AACAUGGUUUAUCAGGUUAUCUUCGGCCACGAGAAGUUCAUUGCAGCUCAUUCUGUGAUAAGUAGCGGCAGCUAUUUUAUACAUGGUUUCAGCAUUAAUGCAAGAAUAGGCACGCUGUGUUCUUCCCAUGACUCCUGCUAACCUUGUAUAACAAAGCUGUGACUGAUUGGGUGGUCCUAGCUGGACAAGCAGCGGGAAGCUUGCUAAACAGUCCUCUCGAUGACCAUCUGUACAGUAUUAGUGGGUUAAACUCUGGCAGUAUCACAAAUGCAAACUCUGAAGUCUACACUUUUCGGUUCUUGCCAACAUGCCACAGUGCUUUCUGGAAGUAGGUAAGCAGGAUAUGUCCCUCCAGGGUGAUGUUGUGUCUUUCAUUCCAGACUCCAGGAUAAUUCCAAGCGUAGGAGGAGUGAAUAUGUGGAACUCAGUCUACUUUGCUUAUGUUUAUGAAUGAUCAUGUGUCAGCUAUUCGGAUGACCAAAAUGAAAUAGAAUGGAGCUUUCCUAUCACGGGUAAAGCUUCACUUCAGCUCAAGAAUUCAAAACGGAGAUGACCUGAACGCAUAUAUACACUUCCACAAUUGUGUCCAUUUCAGGCAAUUAUUGAUGGAACAAGAAUCUGUCGAAACUUGACUGCCUUCAAAGCUAAUGCUUUUCUUCCCAAUACUGAGGGAUAGAGACCGUUAAAAUUUUAGUAUGUUCAACUCUUUAUGGAGCAAAUGGUCUGUUUCUGUCUGUGAUAAAUUAGGAUUUCAGCUAUUUGUAAGUGUAAACUGAAUCUGUGUAACAAUAAAAUUGUAUUUCGUGCCAAAUA